rnacentral:rRNA from 1 species
AGUGAACGCUGGCGGUAGGCCUAACACAUGCAGGUCGAACGGCAGCACAGUAAGAGCUUGCUCUUACGGGUGGCGAGUGGCGGACGGGUGAGGAAUACAUCGGAAUCUACUUUUUCGUGGGGGAUAACGUAGGGAAACUUACGCUAAUACCGCAUACGACCUACGGGUGAAAGCAGGGGAUCUUCGGACCUUGCGCGAUUGAAUGAGCCGAUGUCGGAUUAGCUAGUUGGCGGGGUAAAGGCCCACCAAGGCGACGAUCCGUAGCUGGUCUGAGAGGAUGGUAAGCCACACUGGAACUGGGACACGGUACAGACUACUACGGGAGGCAGCAGUGGGGAAUGUUGGACAAUGGGCGCAAGCCUGAUCCACCCAUACCGCGUGGGUGAAGAAGGCAUUCGUGUUGUAAAGCCCUUUUGUUGGGAAAGAAAAGCAGCAGGUUAAUACCCCGCUGUUCUGACGGUACCCAAAGAAUAAGCACCGGCUAACUUCGUG